UACGUAGGGUGCAAGCGUUAAUCGGAAUUACUGGGCGUAAAGCGUGCGCAGGCGGUUCUAUAAGACAGAUGUGAAAUCCCCGGGCUCAACCUGGGAACUGCAUUUGUGACUGUAGAGCUGGAGUACGGUAGAGGGGGAUGGAAUUCCGCGUGUAGCAGUGAAAUGCGUAGAUAUGCGGAGGAACACCGAUGGCGAAGGCAAUCCCCCGGACCUGUACUGACGCUCAUGCACGAAAGCGUGGGGAGCAAACAGG
rnacentral:rRNA from 1 species